UACGGGGGGGGCAAGCGUUGUUCGGAAUUACUGGGCGUAAAGAGCGCGCAGGCGGUUGAUUAAGUCGAAUGUGAAAGCCCCCGGCUCAACUGGGGAGGGUCAUUCGAUACUGAUCAACUUGAAGGCAGGAGAGGGUAGUGGAAUUCCCGGUGUAGUGGUGAAAUGCGUAGAUAUCGGGAGGAACACCAGUGGCGAAGGCGACUACCUGGCCUGUUCUUGACGCUGAGGCGCGAAAGCUGGGGGAGCAAACGGG
rnacentral:rRNA from 1 species